rnacentral:rRNA from 1 species
GGCGGGCGGGUGCUAUACAUGCAAGUCGAGCGAACAGACGAGAAGCUUGCUUCUCUGAUGUUAGCGGCGGACGGGUGAGUAACACGUGGGUAACCUACCUAUAAGACUGGGAUAACUCCGGGAAACCGGGGCUAAUACCGGAUAAUAUUUUGAACCGCAUGGUUCGAUAGUGAAAGACGGUUUCGGCUGUCACUUAUAGAUGGACCCGCGCCGUAUUAGCUAGUUGGUAAGGUAACGGCUUACCAAGGCGACGAUACGUAGCCGACCUGAGAGGGUGAUCGGCCACACUGGAACUGAGACACGGUCCAGACUCCUACGGGAGGCAGCAGUAGGGAAUCUUCCGCAAUGGGCGAAAGCCUGACGGAGCAACGCCGCGUGAGUGAUGAAGGUCUUCGGAUCGUAAAACUCUGUUGUUAGGGAAGAACAAAUUUGUUAGUAACUGAACAAGUCUUGACGGUACCUAACCAGAAAGCCACGGCUAACUACGUGCCAGCAGCCGCGGUAAUACGUAGGUGGCAAGCGUUAUCCGGAAUUAUUGGGCGUAAAGCGCGCGUAGGCGGUUUCUUAAGUCUGAUGUGAAAGCCCACGGCUCAACCGUGGAGGGUCAUUGGAAACUGGGAAACUUGAGUGCAGAAGAGGAGAGUGGAAUUCCAUGUGUAGCGGUGAAAUGCGCAGAGAUAUGGAGGAACACCAGUGGCGAAGGCGGCUCUCUGGUCUGUAACUGACGCUGAUGUGCGAAAGCGUGGGGAUCAAACAGGAUUAGAUACCCUGGUAGUCCACGCCGUAAACGAUGAGUGCUAAGUGGUUAGGGGGUUUCCGCCCCUUAGUGCUGCAGCUAACGCAUUAAGCACUCCGCCUGGGGAGACGACCGCAAGGUUGAACUCAAAGGAAUUGACGGGACCCGCACAGCGUGGGAGCAUGUGGUUUAUUCGAAGCACGCGAAGACCUUACCAAUCUUGACUCCUUGACGUCCUAGAAAGAGCUUCCCUUCGGGG